ensembl:lncRNA trace amine-associated receptor 13c-like
AAAGGAGGGGAUGGUAAGAAUAACAGGGAAGGACAGAGGUCUGACAGAGAUCAUUUCAAAAGCUACAAACAGCUUGCCUGCUGUUUUCUGAUGGGAGACUGUAUUCAAUCAGGAAUCAAACUGGACUUUAUUGUACAUAUUGACUGGACAAAGACUGGCGGUUGACAGUGGGUAUUACCUUGUUCUUUUGCUACUCAGACACAGUUUUCAGGAAUAGAAUAUACAGGGUUGUGAUCCACGGCUAACAAAAGAACUACCCAAAAUACUGACUUGACUUAUUUAUAUCACUGCCUGUUAGAGGCAUGAGGACUGUACCAAGGCUUCACUACUGGCCAUCUUUAGUGUACCCAGGGAACCAGGACCUCAGCUUGGGAUAAUGGAGACUGCUAAUCAGACAGCGAGUGAAUCUCAAGGUGCAGGACAAACUUUGGCACCUCUUUGCACAGCCCGCUGCUGUGGACUACUAAACCGAACACUGGUGGUCAUGUUCAUGGUUAGCCUGGCCUUUGCUAUUGUGGUGGGAAACGUGGUGACGCUUACUGUUUUCAUGCAGACCCGGCAUUCUCGAACACCUCAGGGCUACCUCAAAGUGUCUCUGGCCUUCGCCGACAUGAUGGUUGGAGUCUUGGUGGUGCCAUUUUCUGUAUACACUGAAAUUUCUCUGAUGGUGACCAGCACUCCACCGCUGUGGUACCAGGGCAUUUCAGCGGUCUCACUGGAGGGUGGAUCAGGACCUUGGCAACCCUGCAUGCUGAUAGGUCCAGUUUUUGCUGGAUGCACUUUUGUCUCAAUUAGUACCAUCUUUCUGAUGACAGUGGAGCGCAGUGUGGCAAUCCUGCGUCCACUGCAUAAAGACACUCUUGUGACGCGGCAUCGCACCCUGUUCCUAAUUGUCUUGUCCUGGGCUGGCAGCUUCUUACUGGCAAUGGCUCCGCUCAUGCUAAGCAACAGCUUCACACUGGAGUACAAUGAAUGCAGCCGCAUGUGCAACUAUGCACCCUUACUAAUCGGACAUCAGUUGCCACCAGAUGCAAACAUCCUUCUGCUGUUUCCAGCCUUUGACUUCAGUUUAUUGGGUGGGACAUUAGCCAUCAAUAUCCUGUCCUUCACCAGUAUCCGCCGAUACUCCCGCAAACGAAAGCUGCUCUCUGAGGGAAGUCUUGGCACGGAUGCAGGAGCCGGCGGGUGUCCCCACAGGCCCUCUUUUUCUGAUAUCAAAGCAGCUAAAACCAUUGGAAUCCUCACCUUUGCCUUCACAGCCUCGUUCUCUCCUAUUGCAGUAUUUGUGCUGGGGAAUGUAGUGGGAUACACCUGGUGCAACUUCUCCUUUUUUGCAUUUUGGAUUCUGACAAGUAAUAGCUGCUGCAAUGUGAUUAUUUAUAGUUUUCGGGACCACCGUUUUAGGAAAGGGCUGACUCUGCUCUUUCAGCGGGACAGAGCACAACCUCACCCAGAGAAAAGCUGAGAUUUUUUGGACAGGAACUGGGCAAAGGCUGGCACUGACUUCACUUUCUUUACCUCCCGUCACUUUCGCCUUGAGAGAUUAAGAAUUUGCUUUUCAGGAUCUCUUUCACAAAUGGAUCAGGGACAACAAUAUACAUCAUUCCAGGGAUUGUGGCAGUUGUCAUUAUGUUUUACAGAGAAUUAUAGUCUUUAUUAGCAUUUCCCUACAGUUAUUUAUUUUUUUAUUCUGAUACACGUAUACGUAUGAAAUACAGAGACGCCUUAUUGAUUAUUGCGUUGCGUAUUCAGCAUAAAUCUGUAAAAUAUGUACGUGAGACAUUAUUUAAUGCGAUUUAUAAAAACAAUUAACAUUUUGAAAGAGUUCUAUUUCUACCUAAUCUGGCAAAAAAUAAAUAAAUAUAUAUAUAUAUAAUAGGUGUAAUUAGGUAAGUUCACAUGAACAAACCACAUGACCUUCCCAUGUGAAAUCACAUGUUAAAAUCACAUGUGAAAUGUGGUUUUGGAAUGUUUUCAUGUUGUGAAUGUGUGAAACCCAUGUGAUCACAUAUGAACAUGUGGACAUGUGUGGGCUUUUUUCUGUAAGGGAUUGACUUGAACGAUACAGCUGAGGUACUCUUUGUUUAAAAAAUAAAAAUACAGUAUUAUAGAUUCUUCUUUCCAUUUUUAGAUUUUUACUUCUAUAGUAGAAAAUUAUUAGAAAAAUAAAUAAAUAAUAAUAAUUAAGUGAAAAAAACACAAUAUGUAAGUAGAUAACCUUGUAACAACUAGCUGACACCCUUAACACUGUGAAGUACAUAAUCAGUGCUAUAUUAUUGAUAGAAUGAGACUUCAGAAUUUUUAAUAAACAAUUUGAAGCAAAUGUAUCCCCUGUUCACUGAGUGUGGAUAAUAGUAGGUGACAGGGCUAAAAGUCUGUCAGUCUUCUGUUUAAAUAUUCACAUCUUCAGCAGCAGAACCACAUAAAGCUACUCAGAGUACACACUGACUGCCUCAGGCUGUAACUUCUCCCUCACG